CCGGCCUCACGCAAUCCUCCAGUUGCAGGGGCAGACGAGGCUCGGCCUGGCUGACGACAAAAAUCUGAAACAGGAAAAGAAGAUCCUGAGGAGAGGGGCCAGAGAGAGAGAGAAUGCCCACUGUAAAGGAUUGGAUGGAGUCCUCUUAUCAAAGCCAGCCACUGGCAAACAGUUUUUUUCUGUCCCUGUGGUUGAAGUUUGUGCUGAUGGAUUAAAUGUAGAGUCAGUGACUUACUACAUGUUAAGUUAAAAAAAAAAAAAAAAAAACGAUUGACUCCACUCAAUGAUGAAUAAAGAUUUAAUUACAAAAGUA